rnacentral:rRNA from 1 species
AGAGUUUGAUCCUGGCUCAGAUUGAACGCUGGCGGCAUGCCUUACACAUGCAAGUCGAACGGUAACAGGUCUUCGGAUGCUGACGAGUGGCGAACGGGUGAGUAAUACAUCGGAACGUGCCCGAUCGUGGGGGAUAACGGAGCGAAAGCUUUGCUAAUACCGCAUACGAUCUACGGAUGAAAGCAGGGGACCGCAAGGCCUUGCGCGGACGGAGCGGCCGAUGGCAGAUUAGGUAGUUGGUGGGAUAAAAGCUUACCAAGCCGACGAUCUGUAGCUGGUCUGAGAGGACGACCAGCCACACUGGGACUGAGACACGGCCCAGACUCCUACGGGAGGCAGCAGUGGGGAAUUUUGGACAAUGGGCGAAAGCCUGAUCCAGCCAUGCCGCGUGCAGGAUGAAGGCCUUCGGGUUGUAAACUGCUUUUGUACGGAACGAAAAGCCUCUUUCUAAUAAAGAGAGGUCAUGACGGUACCGUAAGAAUAAGCACCGGCUAACUACGUG